rnacentral:rRNA from 1 species
AACGCGAAGAACCUUACCAGGUCUUGACAUCCUCUGAAAACCCUAGAGAUAGGGCUUCUCCUUCGGGAGCAGAGUGACAGGUGGUGCAUGGUUGUCGUCAGCUCGUGUCGUGAGAUGUUGGGUUAAGUCCCGCAACGACGGCAACCCUUGAUCUUAGUUGCCAUCAUUAAGUUGGGCACUCUAAGGUGACUGCCGGUGACAAACCGGAGGAAGGUGGGGAUGACGUCAAAUCAUCAUGCCCCUUAUGACCUGGGCUACACACGUGCUACAAUGGACGGUACAAAGAGCUGCAAGACCGCGAGGUGGAGCUAAUCUCAUAAAACCGUUCUCAGUUCGGAUUGUAGGCUGCAACUCGCCUACAUGAAGCUGGAAUCGCUAGUAAUCGCGGAUCAGCAUGCCGCGGUGAAUACGUUCCCGGGUCUUGUACNCACCGAAU